AUGAACGCUGGCGGCAUGCCUAACACAUGCAAGUCGAACGAAGGCUUCGGCCUUAGUGGCGCACGGGUGCGUAACGCGUGGGAAUCUGCCCUUGGGUUCGGAAAUAACAGAGAGAAAUUUUCUGCUAAUACCGGAUGAUGACGUAAGUCCAAAGAUUUAUUCGCCCCAAGGAUGAGCCCGCCGUAGGAUUAGCUAGUUGGUGAGGUAAAGGCUCACCAAGGCGACGAUCCUUAGCUGGUCUGAGAGGAUGAUCAGCCACACUGGGACUGAGACACGGCCCCAGACUCCUACGGGAGGCAGCAGUGGGGAAUAUUGGACAAUGGGCGAAAGCCUGAUCCAGCAAAUGCCGCGUGAGUGAUGAAGGCCUUAGGGUUGUUAAAGCUCUUUUACCCGGGAUGAUAAUGACAGUACCGGGAGAAUAAGCUCCGGCUAACUCCGUGCCAGCAAGCCCGCGGUAAUACGGAGGGAGCUAGCGUUAUUCGGAAUUACUGGGCGGUAAAAGCGCACGUAGGCGGCUUUGUAAGUUAGAGGUGAAAGCCUGGAGCUCAACUCCAGAAUUGCCUUUAAGACUGCAUCGCUUGAAUCCAGGAGAGGUGAGUGGAAUUCCGAGUGUAGAGGUGAAAAUUCGUAGAUAUUCGGAAGAACACCAGUGGGCGAAGGCGGCUCACUGGACUGGUAUUGACGCUGAGGUGCGAAAAGCGUGGGGGAGCAAACAGGAUUAGAUACCCUGGUAGUCCCACGCCGGUAAACGAUGAUAACUAGCUGUCGGGGCUCUUAGAGCUUCGGUGGCGCAGCUAACGCAAUUAAGUUAUCCGCCUGGGGAGUACGGCCGCAAGGUUAAAACUCAAAGGAAUUGACGGGGGCCUGCACAAGCGGUGGGAGCAUGUGGUUUUUAAUUCGAAGCAACGCGCAGAAACCUUACCAGCGUUUUGACAUGUCCGGACGAUUUUCCAGAGAUGGAUCUCUUCCCUUCGGGGACUGGAACACAGGUGCUGCAUGGCUGUCGUCAGCUCGUGUCGUGAGAUGUUGGGUUAAGUCCCGCAACGAGCGCAACCCUCGUCUUUAGUUGCCAUCAUUUUAGUUGGGCACUCUAAAAGAAACCGCCGGUGAUAAGCCGGAGGAAGGUGGGGAUGACGUCAAGUCCUCAUGGCCCUUACGCGCCGGGCUACACACGUGCUACAAUGGCGGGUGACAGUGGGCAGCAAUCCCGCAAGGGUGAGCUAAUCUCCAAAGGCCGUCUCAGUUCGGAUUGUUCUCUGCAACUCGAGAGCAUGAAGGCGGAAAUCGCUAGUAAUCGCGGAGUCAGCAUGCCGCGGUGAAUACGUUCCCAGGCCUUGUACACACCGCCCGUCACACCAUGGGAGUUGGAUUCACCCGAAGGCAGUGCGCUAACCGCAAGGAGGCAGCUGACCACGGUGGGUUUCAGCGACUGGGGUG
rnacentral:rRNA from 1 species